rnacentral:rRNA from 1 species
AACGAACGCUGGCGGCGUGCCUAACACAUGCAAGUCGAGCGCGAAAGGAGCAAUCCGAGUAGAGCGGCGCACGGGUGCGUAACACGUGGGUAAUCUGCCUCAGGGUUGAGGAUAACUUUCUGAAAGGAAAGCUAAUACUCGGUAAGCUUACGGGGUCUUCGGACUUUGUGAGAAAACUAGACCUCUAUUUAUAAGUUUAGGCCCAGAGAUGAGCCCGCGGCGCAUCAGCUAGUUGGCGGUGUAACGGACCACCAAGGCGACGACGGGUAGCUGGGCUGAGAGGACGAUCAGCCACACUGGACCUGAGACACGGUCCAGACUCCUACGGGAGGCAGCAGUGGGGAAUUUUCCACAAGGAGCGAAAGCCUGAUGGAGCAACGCCGCGUGUAUAAUGAAGGUCUUCGGGUCGUAAAGCACUUUCGACUGGGACGAAAAGCCUUUGGCUAACAUCCGGGGGCCUGACGGUACCAGGAGAAGAAGCACCGGCUAACUCUGUGCCAGCAGCCGCCGUAACAC